GGCAGAAUGGUGUAGUGGUUUGAGUGUUGGACUGGAACUCUGGGAAACCAGGGUUCGAAUCCCUGCUUGGCUG